UGGGGAAUAUUGGACAAUGGGCGAAAGCCUGAUCCAGCCAUGCCGCGUGUGUGAAGAAGGUCUUCGGAUUGUAAAGCACUUUAAGUUGGGAGGAAGGGCAGUAAGCGAAUACCUUGCUGUUUUGACGUUACCGACAGAAUAAGCACCGGCUAACUCUGUGCCAGCAGCCGCGGUAAUACAGAGGGUGCAAGCGUUAAUCGGAUUUACUGGACGUAAAGCGUGCGUAGGCGGCUAAUUGAGUCGGAUGUGAAAUCCCCGAGCUUAACUUGGGAAUUGCAUUCGAUACUGGUUAGCUAGAGUGUGGGAGAGGAUGGUAGAAUUCCAGGUGUAGCGGUGAAAUGCGUAGAGAUCUGGAGGAAUACCGAUGGCGAAGGCAGCCAUCUGGCCUAACACUGACGCUGAGGUACGAAAGCAUGGGGAGCAAACAGG
rnacentral:rRNA from 1 species